ACAGACUCUAUUUUUCAGUUUUUAGAUACAACAUUUGAUUCUUCGUCUUAUUUAAAACUUUUCUAUGAUUAAUAAUAAUAAUAUUAUUAUUAGAUAAUAGAACAUGAAAAGGACUUUAUGCGUGACUAAUAUUUUUAAUUUUUUUAUAUUUGUUUCAAAUAAGACGGGUGGUAAAUGUUGGACAAAAAAACCCAAAAAUGAAGUCUCU
rnacentral:pre_miRNA from 1 species